AUUGAACGCUGGCGGCAGGCUUAACACAUGCAAGUCGAGCGAGCGGCGGACGGGUGAGUAAUGUCUGGGAAACUGCCUGAUGGAGGGGGAUAACUACUGGAAACGGUAGCUAAUACCGCAUACCAUCAGAUGUGCCCAGAUGGGAUUAGCUAGUAGGGGGGGUAAAGGCCUACCAAGGCGACGAUCUGUAGCGGGUCUGAGAGGAUGAUCCGCCACAAUGGGACUGAGACACGGCCCAGACGCCUACGGGAGGCAGCAGUGGGGAAUAUUGGACAAUGGGGGGAACCCUGAUCCAGCCAUGCCGCGUGUGUGAAGAAGGCCUUAUGGUUGUAAAGCACUUUAAGCGAGGAGGCGUUACUCGCAGAAUAAGCACCGGCUAACUCUGUGCCAGCAGCCGCGGUAAUAC
rnacentral:rRNA from 1 species